GGGGGGGCAGNCNCUAACCCAUANAANNACGAGNGGUAGAGAGAAGCUUGNUUCUCUNCNGANCGGCGGACGGGUGAGUAAUACCUAGGAAUCUGCCUGGUAGUGGGGGAUAACGUUCGGAAACGGACGCUAAUACCGCAUACGUCCUACGGGAGAAAGCAGGGGACCUUCGGGCCUUGCGCUAUCAGAUGAGCCUAGGUCGGAUUAGCUAGUUGGUGNGGUAAUGGCUCACCAAGGCGACGAUCCGUAACUGGUCUGAGAGGAUGAUCAGUCACACUGGAANUGAGACACGGUCCAGACUCCUACGGGAGGCAGCAGUGGGGAAUAUUGGACAAUGGGCGAAAGCUCUGAUCCAGCCAUGCCGCGUGUGUGAAGAAGGUCUUCAGGAUUGUAAAGCACUUUAAGUUGGGAGGAAGGGCAGUNACCUAAUACGUGACUGUUUUAGACGAACCGACAGAANUAGCCCCCGC
rnacentral:rRNA from 1 species